rnacentral:miRNA from 11 species
CGUGGAUCUUCAGUGCUGUACC